CGGGUGACUUGAGUACAUGAACU
rnacentral:miRNA from 1 species